AAAAAGACAAACCCUGGAUUUCCAUGUCCAACGUUUGACUGUCCGUCUUAUAUAAAUUUUUUUUACAAUUAGUAUUUUCAUUAUUGUUAGAUGAUAAUACAUAAUAGUAAUACUUUAUACGUGACUUGUCUUUUUAAUUUUUUUUAUAAUUUUUUUCAAAUAAGACGAACGGUCAAACGUUGGACAUAGAAACCUAGGAUUUGUCUUUUC
rfam:Oryza glumipatula chromosome 12, whole genome shotgun sequence.